UUAACACAAUUUCAGGUUUAUGGCACAAAAUAUAAGAGUUUGAGUAAAUCUGUGGUCUGAAGUGGUCCAAUAGAUGGCAACAAAACACUGAAAAUGCUGAAGAAGAAGAAGGAGGAAAGAAAAAGGGGAAGUCAUUUGUGCUUGUAUGUUUCCAGUACAAUCAUUUUUUCCCUCAGUUUUACAGUAACUGUUAAAUCUGUAGGAGUUAAUAAAUAAUAAUAAGAAAAAAACAAUAAGAUCAUUUUGAUGUGUUUGCUCAGUUCAUGUGUGAAUCCUGAGCUCUGAUCCUUCAAGGCCUGCAGUCAAAACACCCAAAACACUCUCUUCUCCUGAUACCAGCUUUAUCAACUGAAGAAUUAGGAGAUAUCUUCAUUAAUACCGUCUGUUCACAUAGUGACCAUCAUCAUCAACAUCAUCAUCAUUAUCAUUAGUCAUGAGCUCUCAUUCUCUCAUACUGGUUCUGCUGGUUCUCACCUGCCUUCAGUCCUUCACAAUGGUCCAGAACCAAUAUGUACAAGAUUCAUGCUGUUCCAGAUACCAGAUAACUCGAAUCCCUUUUAGAGACAUUACAGGGUAUAAAGUAACAGACCGUCAGUGUGCAAAUCCUGGAGUCAUCUUUACCCUGAAGGACAGCCAACAGGUGUGUGUAGAUCCUGAACUCAAGUGGGUGCAGAUGCACAUGAAAACUAUUGACUUGUUCUACUCAUCUUCACCUCCAGCUCCAUCCCCUAGUCCUUUGUUUAAUAAUUAAUUCAUAUUCAUACAAAAUUCACUUCUGUAGUUCAGGAAUUUUUAUUUAGAUUAUUCAUCAAAACAUAAAUUGAGACAGCAUGAUUCAGUU